UGCUGGUGUCCUGAAUACAUGUCUCUCUGCUUGUUGGGUAAUCUGACACGGUAACUGGCCAGAGGGAGUCAGCCAGGUGAGAGCUGGGGAAGGGUGUGGCUGGCAGGGGGGAGUUUCUUGUAAGUACAAAGGCCCAGAGGCAAGAGAAAAGAUGGCGUGUUGGGGGAAGAAGGAAAUCCUUUGAUGCGAUCCGGCAAAUGGAAAGAGGAUCACUGUGAAUAUUGCUAGAGACCUUUUGAUGGUUUGAAAUCAUUCAUGCAAGAGACACCAAGUACCCAGGAUGUUUCAAGCACUGACCCAGAAAAAUGUUCCUGUACACGCACCCGGAGGCUUUUGCAGGAGGCGGCUGUUGGAGAACCAGGAAAACAAGCCAAGAAACAAGAGAGAGGAAAAAGACCAC